ensembl:snRNA U1 U1 spliceosomal RNA
AUACUUACCUGGCGGGCUGAGAUACCAUGAUCAAGAAGGUGGUUCAUCCAGGGCGAGACUCAGCCAUUGCACUCCGGUUGUGCUGACCCCUGCGAAUUCCCCAAAUGUGGGAAUCUUGACUGCAUGAUUUCUGGUAGUGGAAUUGUGGGCUG